rnacentral:rRNA from 1 species
AGUGAACGCUGGCGGUAGGCCUAACACAUGCAAGUCGAACGGCAGCACAGUAAUAGCUUGCUCUUACGGGUGGCGAGUGGCGGACGGGUGAGGAAUACAUCGGAAUCUACUUUUUCGUGGGGGAUAACGUAGGGAAACUUACGCUAAUACCGCAUACGACCUACGGGUGAAAGCAGGGGAUCUUCGGACCUUGCGCGAUUGAAUGCGCCGAUGUCGGAUUAGCUAGUUGGCGGGGUAAAGGCCCACCAAGGCGACGAUCCGUCGCUGGUCUGAGAGGAUGAUGCGGCACACUGGAACUGAGACACGGUCCAGACUCCGACGGGAGGCAGCAGUGGGGAAUAUUGGACAAUGGGCGCAAGACUGAUCCAGCCAUACCGCGUGGGUGAAGAAGGCCUUCGGGUUGUAAAGCCCUUUUGUUGGGAAAGAAAAGCAGCAGGUUAAUACCCCGCUGUUCUGACGGUACCCAAAGAAUAAGCACCGGCUAACUUCGUG